rnacentral:rRNA from 1 species
CAGCCGCCGCGGUAAUACGUAGGUGGCAAGCGUUGUCCGGAAUUAUUGGGCGUAAAGGGCUCGCAGGCGGUUUCUUAAGUCUGAUGUGAAAGCCCCCGGCUCAACCGGGGAGGGUCAUUGGAAACUGGGAAACCUGAGUGCAGAAGAGGAGAGUGGAAUUCCACGUGUAGCGGUGAAAUGCGUAGAGAUGUGGAGGAACACCAGUGGCGAAGGCGACUCUCUGGUCUGUAACUGACGCUGAGGAGCGAAAGCGUGGGGAGCGAACAGGAUUAGAUACCCGAGUAGUCCCUGUCUCUUAUAC